CCGUAAAAUUUGGACUGCGCUUGCGCGAGUCCAGAAACGACGGACAGCGGGGCCUGCAUGGGAGACGUCACUGCCAAUAGGUGCGAGAGUCCUGCAGAGGCGGCUCUUUACUUCAGCCGUCAUCAGUGUGGGACAGGAGCUUCAAGUAAGGACUGGAUCGGGGUGUGCACUGGGAGAGGCCGGAAGGGGUGGGCGUGGUUACCAAUGCAUGGAGGCGCUCACCCUGCUCUGCAACGAUCAGCUGUUGCAGAACAGCAAUAUGGAGUCCCUUCAGUGCCGAUUUCCCUGGUAGCUGGGUCUCCUUCCCCCCUUAGAGAUGGGAAAUGUUUUUUUUUUGCCUGGCACAGCAACGGCAGCUACCCAGAAGCCGAGGCCCCGCCCCCUCUCACAGGCUCCGCCCCUCCCACGGCCCGCGAUUUUCUCCAGUCCACUGCCAGCUAUGGGGUUCCGGCAUACAGCUCCUGCAGCACCCAGGACAGCACCCCAGGACAGUUACACAGGACAGCAGCACCCCUGUACAGCACAGGAUAACUCCCCUGCACAGCACCCCUUACAGCACAGGGCAGCACCCCUAACAGCACAGGACAGCAGCACCCCUAAGAACAGGGCAGCACCCCUGUACAGUGCCAAUGUACAGCACUUCUAACAGCACCCCAGGAUGGUACCCCUGUACAGCACAGGACCGCAGCACCCCUAACAUCACAGAACAGAACCCCUGUACAGCACCCCUAACAGCACAGGACAGCACCCCUAAACAAAACACACAGUGACUCCACCACCCACAGAGAGUGAGAGUUCUCUCUCCCUCACUCUCCAAUGCUGGAGUGAAGAUGGUGCCAAUGGGCAGUGUCUUACAUAUGGGAUCAAAAACCCACGAGAUCUGACAGUGGAAUGAUGAUGCUUUGCCUCAAUCUGGGAUCAGAGUCUGGUGGGAAAACCAAAGCCAGACUCAGACCCCUGCUCGAAACAUUAAGUUUGGGGGUGUUUGGAUCCCUGAGAACCGAACCCACUCAUCCAUAAACAUGAGUAAUGAGAGCGAGAUGAAGGCAAAAAAAAAAUAUAUGUAUAUGUGCCGAGUCACUUCCAGGUAUACCUGUACAUUCUGCGCAUAUACUGUGUGGGCCUCCUUUGCCCGUACAGUAUGUGUAUUCUUGGAUGUACCUUGUGUACAUUUAUUUUGUUGAGCAUUCACCCAUAUUCAAUAAAUUAGUGACAUUUAUGGUCAUAUCACACCCUAAUAAGUUAUAUCUCACCAAAAUUACUUAUUUAAAACUGAAUUGUUUACAAUUAAUAACCGAUUCACUUCCAAUGGUAAUAAAGAAAGUAAUUUCUAAUCUUA